AACCCGGGUGAAAGCCUGGGUGCCCCGCGAGGGAGCCCUAGCACAGGUGCUGCAUGGCCGUCGUCAGCUCGUGCCGUGAGGUGUUGGGUUAAGUCCCGCAACGAGCGCAACCCCCGCCGUUAGUUGCCAGCGGUUCGGCCGGGCACUCUAACGGGACUGCCCGCGAAAAGCGGGAGGAAGGAGGGGACGACGUCUGGUCAGCAUGGGCCCUUACGGCCUGGGCGACACACGUGCUACAAUGCCCACUACAAAGCGAUGCCACCCGGCAACGGGGAGCUAAUCGCAAAAAGGUGGGCCCAGUUCGGAUUGGGGUCUGCAACCCGACCCCAUGAAGCCGGAAUCGCUAGUAAUCGCGGAUCAGCCAUGCCGCGGUGAAUACGUUCCCGGGCCCUU
rnacentral:rRNA from 1 species